rnacentral:rRNA from 1 species
AUUGAACGCUGGCGGCAGGCCUAACACAUGCAAGUCGAACGGUAACAGGAAGAAGCUUGCUUCUUUGCUGACGAGUGGCGGACGGGUGAGUAAUGUCUGAGAAACUGCCUGAUGGAGGGGGAUAACUACUGGAAACGGUAGCUAAUACCGCAUAACGUCGCAAGACCAAAGAGGGGGACCUUCGGGCCUCUUGCCAUCGGAUGUGCCCAGAUGGGAUUAGCUAGUAGGUGGGGUAACGGCUCACCUAGGCGACGAUCCCUAGCUGGCCUGAGAGGAUGACGAGCCUAACUGGAACUGGGACACGGUCCAGACUCCUACGGGAGGCAGCAGUGAGGAAUAUUGCACAAUGGGCGCAAGCCUGAUGCAGCCAUGCCGCGUGUAUGAAGAAGGCCUUCGGGUUGUAAAGUACUUUCAGCGGGGAGGAAGGUGUUGUGGUUAAUAACCGCAGCAAUUGACGUUACCCGCAGAAGAAGCACCGGCUAACUCCGUGCCAGCCGCCGCAGUAA